UUCCAGACUCCUACGGGAGGCAGCAGUGGGGAAUAUUGCACAAUGGGGGAAACCCUGAUGCAGCGACGCCGCGUGAGUGAAGAAGUAUUUCGGUAUGUAAAGCUCUAUCAGCAGGGAAGAAAAUGACGGUACCUGAUUAAGAAGCCCCGGCUAACUACGUGCCAGCAGCCGCGGUAAUACGUAGGGGGCAAGCGUUAUCCGGAUUUACUGGGUGUAAAGGGAGCGUAGACGGCACUGCAAGUCCGGAGUGAAAGCCCAAGGCUUAACCAUGGGACUGCUCUGGAAACUGUGGAGCUUGAGUGCGGGAGGGGCAGGCGGAAUUCCUAGUGUAGCGGUGAAAUGCGUAGAUAUUAGGAGGAACACCGGCGGCGAAGGCGGCCUGCUGGACCGUAACUGACGUUGAGGCUCGAAAGCGUGGGGAGCAAACAGGAUUAGAUACCCCGGUAC
rnacentral:rRNA from 1 species